GAUGAAGAACGUAGCGAAAUGCGAUAAGUAGUGUGAAUUGCAGAAUUCAGUGAAUCAUCGAAUCUUUGAACGCACAUUGCGCCCUUUGGUAUUCCUUAGGGCAUGCCUGUUCGAGCGUCAUUUAAACCUUCAAGCUAAGCUUGGUGUUGGGUGACUGUCCGCUUCACGGCGGACUCGCCUCAAAAUUAUUGGCGGCCGGUACAUUGGCUUCGAGCGCAGCAGAAACGCGAACUCGGGCCCGUCGUAUUGGCUCCCAGAAGCUAUCUUCACAAUUUUGACCUCGGAUCAGGUAGGGAUACCCGCUGAACUUAAGCAUAUCAAUAAGCCGGAGGA
rnacentral:misc_RNA from 1 species